rnacentral:tRNA from 1 species
GAAGAGCUAGUAAAAGUAUUACCCUGCCUUGUCGAGACAGAAUUGUGAGUUAAACCCUCACGCACUUCG